rnacentral:rRNA from 1 species
UGGGGAAUAUUGCACAAUGGAGGGAACUCUGAUGCAGCGACGCCGCGUGAGUGAUGAAGGAAUUCGUUUCGUAAAACUCUGUUCUAUGGGAAGAAAAGGACUGUACCAUAGGAGAAAGCUCCGGCUAAAUACGUGCCAGCAGCCGCGGUAAUACGUUUGGAGCGAGCGUUGUCCGGAAUUAUUGGGCGUAAAGGGUGCGCAGGCGGCUUUACAAGUUGGAUGUGAAAUAUUGUGGCUCAACCACAAACGUGCAUCCAAAACUGCAAAGCUUGAGUUAAGGAGAGGUAAGUGGAAUUCCUGGUGUAGCGGUGGAAUGCGUAGAUAUCAGGAGGAAUACCGGUGGCGAAGGCGACUUACUGGACUUAAACUGACGCUCAGGCACGAAAGCGUGGGGAGCAAACAGG